rnacentral:rRNA from 1 species
UGGGGAAUAUUGCACAAUGGGGGAAACCCUGAUGCAGCGACGCCGCGUGAACGAAGAAGGUAUUCGUAUCGUAAAGUUCUGUCCUAUGGGAAGAUAAUGACAGUACCAUAGAAGAAAGCUCCGGCUAAAUACGUGCCAGCAGCCGCGGUAAUACGUAUGGAGCGAGCGUUGUCCGGAAUUAUUGGGCGUAAAGGGUACGCAGGCGGUUUAAUAAGUCGAAUGUUAAAGAUCGGGGCUCAACCCCGUAAAGCAUUGGAAACUGAUAAACUUGAGUAGUGGAGAGGAAAGUGGAAUUCCUAGUGUAGUGGUGAAAUACGUAGAUAUUAGGAGGAAUACCAGUAGCGAAGGCGACUUUCUGGACACAAACAGACGCUGAGGUACGAAAGCGUGGGGAGCAAACAGG